rnacentral:rRNA from 1 species
AGUGAACGCUGGCGGUAAGCCUAACACAUGCAAGUCGAACGGCAGCACAGUAAGAACUUGCUCUAACGGUUGGCGAGUAGCGGACGGGUGAGGAAUACAUCGGACUCUACUUUUUCGUGGAGGAUCACGUAGUGAAACUUACGCUAAUACCGCAUACGACAUACGGGUGAAAUCAGGGGAUCUUCGGACCUUGCGCGAUUGAAUGAGCCGAUGCCGGAUUAGCUAGUUGGCGGGGUAAAGGCCCACCAAGGCGACGGUCCGUAGCUGGUCUGAGAGGAUGGUCAGCCACACUGGAACUGAGACACGGUCCCGACUCCUACGGGAGGCAGCAGUGGGGAAUAUUGGACAAUGGGCGGAAGCCUGAUCCAGCCAUACCGCGUGGUUGAAGAAGGCUUUCGGGUUGUAAAGCCCUUUUGUUGGGAAAGAAAAGCAGCAGGUUAAUACCCCGCUGUUCUGACGGUACCCAAAGAAUAAGCACCGGCUAACUUCGUG